rnacentral:misc_RNA from 1 species
GGAGUGUAUACUACAAACCGGCCUAGACGACUGAGGUAUUAACGUUAAUCGCCGAUUCCUAAACCCUAGUUUUGUUCUUCGUAUAUCGGAGAUGGCGAAGAAGAAAGAGAGGUCGGUGAAUGUAUCGGGAAAGCCAAAGCAUUCAUUGGACUCCAAUAGGGAUGUCAGCGCAGCCAAAAAUGGCCGUAGCGCCGCUACUGUGCGGCGGCUCAAGAUGUACAAUACCAGGCCGAAGCGUAAUCCUCAGGGUCACAUAAUUAAGCACGACUUACAAUCAAAGGAGCUGCCAUCAACAAGGAUACAACCAGAUCGUCGUUGGUUCGGUAAUACUCGGGUGGUCAACCAGAAGGAACUGGAGUUUUUUAGAGAAGAGCUCCAAACUCGGCUUUCCAGUAACUACAAUGUUAUAUUAAAAGAAAGGAAGUUGCCCAUGUCCCUUUUAAAUGAUCAUCAGAAGCAAGUAAAAGUUCAUCUGCUUGACAAUGAGCCAUUUGCUGAUGCUUUUGGACCAAAAACAAAGAGGAAACGCCCCAAACUUAUGGCAUUAGAUUAUGAAGCUUUAGUGAAGAAGGUUGAUGUGUCUCAUGAUGAUUUUGAAGACAAACAUGGUGCUAGCACCUCCAUGGAUGAAAAUGCUGAUGGAUUCAGAGAUCUUGUUAGGCACACAAUGUUUGAGAAAGGACAAAGUAAACGAAUUUGGAGUGAGCUCUACAAAGUCAUAGACUCUUCUGAUGUCGUUAUUCAGGUUCUUGAUGCCAGAGACCCCUGUGGUACAAGGUGCUACCAUUUGGAGAAACAUUUGAAAGAAAAUUGCAAGCACAAACAUAUGGUCCUUUUGCUUAAUAAGUGUGAUUUGGUCCCUGCUUGGGCAACAAAGGGAUGGCUUAGAGUGCUCUCUAGGGAAUAUCCAACUUUGGCAUUUCAUGCAAGUGUCACCAAGUCCUUUGGAAAGGGUUCUCUUUUGUCAGUGCUGAGACAGUUUUCUCGUCUAAAGAGCGAUAAGCAAGCAAUCUCUGUUGGUUUUAUAGGCUAUCCCAAUGUUGGCAAGUCAUCAGUUAUUAAUACAUUGCGCACAAAGAAUGUUUGCAAGGUGGCUCCUAUCCCAGGAGAGACUAAAGUGUGGCAGUACAUUACACUCACAAAGAGGAUAUUCUUGAUUGAUUGUCCUGGUGUAGUUUAUCAGAAUCAUGAUUCCGAAACAGAUAUAGUCUUGAAGGGCGUGGUACGAGUGACAAACCUACCUGAUGCUUCUGAACACAUUAGCGAAGUGUUGAAUCGCGUUAAGAAGGAGCAUCUUAAAAGAGCUUAUAAGAUAGAGAAUUGGGUUGACGAGUAUGACUUUCUUCAACAGCUAUGCAAGUCUUCAGGCAAACUUCUGAAGGGAGGUGAACCUGACUACAAUACUGCUGCCAAGAUGGUUCUCCAUGAUUGGCAAAGAGGCAACAUUCCUUUCUUUGUUCCACCUCCAAAGCUUGAUGAUGAGCCAAAUGAACUUGUCGCAGAGGCAGACACAGCCGUUGAUAACGAUCAGGCCACAGCUGCUCUCAAAGCUAUUGCUGACGUCGUUUCAUCACAACAACUGAAGGAAGUUCCUGUUCAGGAGGAACUAUUUAGUAAGGCUGAGCUGUUGGGUGAAAACUAAUAUGGGCGGAUUAUCCUUUAGACUUGCAACAUCCACAGUUCUGGAAUCGAGUUUUCGUAUAUCGUUUUUACAAUCUUUUAGUUGGGUCCAUUGCAUUCCCAGAGUUUUCUAGUCCUAGAAGAGAUUGAUAUACUGGUCGAAAAUAUAGAUACCUCGUAUUUUUGUUUUAACGUUUAUUUCGAAUUGAGUGUUAAUGGAAAUGAUUAAUAUCAUCUAGCUCAACUUGUUUAAGAUUGAAGCUUCUUUCUGUUCUAUACGAGUUACAUGAGAUUUUGC